rnacentral:rRNA from 1 species
GAUGAACGCUGGCGGCGUGCUUAACACAUGCAAGUCGAACGGAAAGGCCCAAGCUUGCUUGGGUACUCGAGUGGCGAACGGGUGAGUAACACGUGGGUGAUCUGCCCUGCACUUCGGGAUAAGCCUGGGAAACUGGGUCUAAUACCGGAUAGGACCACAUUUUGGAUGGUGUGGUGGAAAGUUUUUCGGUGUGGGAUGAGCUCGCGGCCUAUCAGCUUGUUGGUGGGGUAAUGGCCUACCAAGGCGUCGACGGGUAGCCGGCCUGAGAGGGUGUACGGCCACAUUGGGACUGAGAUACGGCCCAGACUCCUACGGGAGGCAGCAGUGGGGAAUAUUGCACGAUGGGCGCAAGCCUGAUGCAGCGACGCCGCGUGGGGGAUGACGGCCUUCGGGUUGUAAACUCCUUUCGCUAGGGACGAAGCGUUAUGUGACGGUACCUGGAGAAGAAGCACCGGCUAACUACGUG